rnacentral:rRNA from 1 species
GAUGAACGCUGGCGGCGUGCCUAAUACAUGCAAGUAGAACGCUGAAGGAGGAGCUUGCUCUUCUGGAUGAGUUGCGAACGGGUGAGUAACGCGUAGGUAACCUGCCUGGUAGCGGGGGAUAACUAUUGGAAACGAUAGCUAAUACCGCAUGACAACAGUUAUUGCAUGAUAACUGUUUAAAAGGGGCAACUGCUCCACUACCAGAUGGACCUGCGUUGUAUUAGCUAGUUGGUGAGGUAACGGCUCACCAAGGCGACGAUACAUAGCCGACCUGAGAGGGUGAUCGGCCACACUGGGACUGAGACACGGCCCAGACUCCUACGGGAGGCAGCAGUAGGGAAUCUUCGGCAAUGGACGGAAGUCUGACCGAGCAACGCCGCGUGAGUGAAGAAGGUUUACGGAUCGUAAAGCUCUGUUGUAAGAGAAGAACGAGUGUGAGAGUGGAAAGUUCACACUGUGACGGUAUCUUACCAGAAAGGGACGGCUAACUACGUG